rnacentral:lncRNA from 1 species
UUAGAAAUUAAGCUGUUAAUUAUUUUAAGUGACGCCAGAUACUUUUCUAAAUACAGCAUUUUUCACCUUAUUUUGGUAGGUAGGUAGGUCUGAAGGCCAUCAUAGACAUAAUAGCCACUUUAAAAUAUUAUGAUCCAUAGAUUUCUGAAAUCCUAGAGUCUAAGGUAUUGAUUCUGAUUAUACAGUGAGGCUGUAGAAGUCAUGGAAAGCAGUUUAUCAUUAAUUCUUAGAAACUUGCUAGGGGUGUGUUUCUUUUCAUUUUAAUAGGUUGAUUGUCUAGACUUACACUGCCCAGUACAGUAGCUGCUAGUCAC